ensembl:lncRNA
UCUUGGAUUUGUAGGUAUCUUUCUCUCUGCACUUAUUCCCUAUGCAUAGUUUGGGAGUUAACUCAAGUCCCAUCUCUUCCACAAAGCCUUCUCUAGGAACUCUGUAAUGACAUCUUUCUUCACCAAGUGAACAAACUACUUAUUUGACGCUAACCAUAAAGACUAAUAGAGUUUAGGAAAGGAUGGGAUAACCUUGUAUGACCCCCUAUUUGGGAGAAACUAAAGUCAGAAAAUUUUCUGUGACCUGCCAGAGGUCAUACCACUACUCUGUGACAGAGAAGUCCUGGAAACAAGGACUCCUUUUUCCUAGAUAGGGCAGGUUACAGGUACAAGGCUCUCACUCUUUGGAAGACGAACGCAUGCCUUUCACUUCUUUGCAGCCUCCUAAAUGUCCAGCACAGUACUGAAAGUAAAGUGUUAGUUGCUCAGUCACGUCUGACUCUUUGCAACCCCAUGGACUAUAGCCUGCCAGGCUCCUCUGUCCAUGGAAUUCCCCAGGCAAGAAUACUAGAGUGGGUUACCAUUCCCUUCUCCAGGGAAUCUUCCUGACCCAGGGAUCAAACCCAGGUUUCCCGCAUUGUAGGCAGAUUCUUCAUCAUCAGAGCCACCAGGGAAGCCCCAGCACAGUAUUAGGUAAAUACUCAACAAAUGGGAAUAAGAUGGAAGGAGAAAGAGAUAAAAAGUGGGAAAGAAGAAGGGAGAGAACAAAGACUGUCUGGCUAAACUGGGAAAGCUAAGACAUCCACAUAGAUCUUGGGCUGGCUGGGAGGCCAGGACCCACCACCAUGCCAGCCCUCUCCUGAGAAGAGGAGAGAAGGCCAGCACCUGGAUCCUACCUGGAGACCACAGGGACACCCUGUCCCGGCCUCGAGUGGCCGCCCACCUCCACCCGUACUGAGGGACUUUCCCCAACCUCCGGCUCCCUGUGUGGCUGGUGACUCAAAACUUCUCCUGUUGUCCAAGCCAUGUUGGCAGUUGUCAAGUGUGAUGAGAAAGCCCAGUGCUCUCUAAGACACGCUCUCUUUUCUGGACUCUCCCAGGAAGACAUGUCCCAGUGUCCCUGCAGCCAUGGGUGGUCAUGUGGCAGAACUCUGGGACACUAGAAUAUGGAGAAAGUGUGAAUCUGGCCUCGAACAUCCCUGGUGAGGACCUCCACGCCCACUGCCUCCCCUCCCAGCCAGAUGCAAAGGAUCCAGGGAGUACCCAGGACCCCUGAAAGAUGGUAGGGCCACUGGGGAGAAGCCUGGUUCCCUAAUCACCACAGAGACGGCCAACCUGCCAACACUCUGUUGGAUCAUGAUAUGUGGGAAAUAAAGUUUUAACUGAGUCCAGCCCACUGAGAUUUGGGAAUUGUUUGUUUACAACAGAGAAACUUCCUACCUUUCAAGCUGAAGCUCAAUUUAAUUUAAAGACUUGUAUUAGUCAAGGUUCUCUGUAGAAACCAAACCAAUAGAACAGUGAGAGAGACAUUUUUUUUAAAUUGGCUCACACGAUUGUGGGAGCUGGCAAAUGCCAAAUCUGUAGGGCAGGCUGACAAGCUGGAAAUUCAGGUAAGAGUUGAUGUUGCAGCCUUGGGUCUGAAAUCCACAAAGCAAGCGAGCGGGCUGGAAGCUCAAGCAGCUUACCAUGCUGCAGUCGUUUUUAAAAAAUAAUCUUAUUUAUUUAUUUAUUUUGGCUGUGCUGGGUCUCCAUUGCUAUGAAGGCUGUUCUCUAGCUGCAGUGAGAAGGGCUUUUCUCUAGUUGCAGGGAGAGAGGGCUUUUCUCUAGUUGUGGUGCAGCGGGCUUCUCACUGCAGUGGCUCCUCUCGUUGCAGAGCACGGCCUCUAGGGUGCACGGGCUUCAGUAGUUGUGGCGAGUGAGUUCAGUUGUUCUGAUUCCUGGGCUCUCGAGCAGAGGCCCCAUAGUUGUGGCCACAGGCUUAGUUGAUCCACAGCAUGCGGGAUCAUCCCAGACCAGGGAUAGCACCCAUGUGUCCUGCCCUGGCAGGCGGAUUCUUUACCCCUGAGCCACCAGGGAAGCCCCACGCUGCAGUCUUGAGGCAGGAUUUAUCUUUCUUAGAGAAACCUCAGUCUUUGCUCUAAGGCCUUCAUCUGACUGAACGAGGCUCACCCAAUAAAGAGAGGGUAAUCUGUUUCACUCAAAAUCCCCUGAUUACAAUGUUAAUCACAUCUAACAAAUACCUUCACAGCAACUCCGAGACUCGUGUUUGACUACACAACUAGG